rnacentral:lncRNA from 1 species
AAACUCUUUCAGAAGGCAGAAGCAUUUGAUUAUUUUUACCUUCUUCCAUUUGAAUAUUUCAUAGCUUUUCAUGUAAAUCUGCUGUUUAAUUACCAUUACAUUUAAAAGUGCAUAAACCACUAUGUGCUUAUGAGGAACACACGUAAUAUCUAAGAAGUGGCCCUUGGAUGAGGAGCUUACAAUCUGAUAGAGCUGGCUAGACUUGUGUGCAAUAAAGACUCUUAUAAAAAGACAACGUGGAGUUAAAUUGCUCAAAAGUGUCAGAAGAAGAGGAGGGUAGGGAAAACAUCUGAGCAAAGGUAGGGAGAGAGGAAUGAUUAGAACAUACUGUAUAAGGUCACAGCAUAGUUAGAAAAUCACCCAGAUUGAAGAAGUAAGCUGACAGGGUAUAGUGUGUUACAAAUCUGGCUACUCAUGUGACAUCUCUUAUUGGAUGUCUUAACUCAGGCUUCUCAAACUCAGCAUGCCCCAAAUCAAAGUUGUGACUCUACCUUCUCCCCGAAACUGUUCUUCUGUUCUUCUCCUAGCUUUCCCACCAGAGGUCUGGGUAUCACCCAUGGUUUCUGCAUUUCCCUAAUUAUCCCUCACCAAUUUUUAAGCCAAUCCCUUCAGUUCUAUCACUAAACUACAUCUUGAAUCUGCACACUUCUCAUUUUUACCACCUUUUAGUUCAAGAUCAACUUUUUUCCUAGGCUACUGCAAAAGCCUCCUGAACUGGUCUUCUGAUUCAAUGCUUGCCCCUCUCUAUAUUGUAGCCAGAGAGAGCUUAUUGGCUGGCUGGAACACCCCUGAGCUUGCUCUGGACAAUGCCCAGCCAGGCUCGGACAUGGGCUUGCCUCUCACCCCAGGGGUGUUCCAACACAGAGCCCCUUAGAACAUAAUAAUGAGGUUGGAUUUCAUUCCAAAUAUAAUGCUAAGCCACUGAUUUAUUUAUUUAUUUAUUUAUUUAUUUAUUUAUUUAUUUAUUUUGCUGGAGAGUAAUUUCCAAUAAGCUCUCUCUGGCUACAAUAUAGAGAGGGGCAAGCAUUGAAUCAGGAACACCAGUUCAGGAGGCUU